rnacentral:rRNA from 1 species
CCUACGGGAGGCAGCAGUGGGGAAUAUUGCACAAUGGGCGGAAGCCUGAUGCAGCAACGCCGCGUGCGGGAUGACGGCCUUCGGGUUGUAAACCGCUUUCGCCUGUGACGAAGCGUGAGUGACGGUAAUGGGUAAAGAAGCACCGGCUAACUACGUGCCAGCAGCCGCGGUGAUACGUAGGGUGCGAGCGUUGUCCGGAUUUAUUGGGCGUAAAGGGCUCGUAGGUGGUUGAUCGCGUCGGAAGUGUAAUCUUGGGGCUUAACCCUGAGCGUGCUUUCGAUACGGGUUGACUUGAGGAAGGUAGGGGAGAAUGGAAUUCCUGGUGGAGCGGUGGAAUGCGCAGAUAUCAGGAGGAACACCAGUGGCGAAAGGCGGUUCUCUGGGCCUUUCCUGACGCUGAGGAGCGAAAGCGUGGGGAGCGAACAGGCUUAGAUACCCUGGUAGUCCACGCUGUAAACGGUGGGUACUAGGUGUGGGGGUUCCCUACUCGUACGGUUCCGGUCGUCCGUACGUACGUACGUACGUUAACGUUACCCGUCCGUCGGGUAGGUACGGUCCGGCGACGGACGUAAACCGUAACGAACGGAAGUUAGUACGGCGUGAGACGUCGCCGACGGACGACCGACCGAGGGAGGUAGG